rnacentral:rRNA from 1 species
AGAGCGAACGCUGGCGGCGUGCUUAACACAUGCAAGUCGAACGAGGUCUGUAGCAAUACAGAUACUCGUGGCGAACGGGUGCGUAACACGUGGAUAACCUUCCUUCAGGUGGGGAAUAACCCAGUGAAAAUUGGGCUAAUACCGCAUAACAUGACGAUGCCACAUGGUGUUGUCUUCAAAGGCGCAAGUCGCCAGAAGAGGGAUCCACGGCCGAUUAGCUAGUUGGCGAGGUAAUGGCUCACCAAGGCAAUGAUCGGUAGCCGGACUGAGAGGUUGGCCGGCCACACUGGAACUGAGACACGGUCCAGACUCCUACGGGAGGCAGCAGUGGGGAAUUUUCGUCAAUGGGGGCAACCCUGAACGAGCAACGCCGCGUGCAGGAAGAAGGUUUUCGGAUCGUAAACUGCUUUUCUCGGGGAAGAGAACGGACGGUACCCGAGGAAUCAGCCCCGGCUAACUACGUGCCAGCAGCCGC